GUGCGUAGGCGGCUCUAUAAGUAUGGUGUGAAAUCUCCCGGCUCAACUGGGAGGGUGCGCUAUAGACUGUGGGGCUAGAGUGUGGGAGAGGAAAGUGGAAUUCCUGGUGUAGCGGUGAAAUGCGUAGAUAUCAGGAGGAACACCGGUGGUGUAAACGGCUUUCUGGACCAUAACUGACGCUGAGGCACGAAAGCGUGGGUAGCAAACAGGAUUAGAUACCCUGGUAGUCCACGCCCUAAACGAUGCAUAUUUGGUGUGGGCCAUUCAUUUGGUCCGUGCCGGAGCUAACGCGUUAAAUAUGCCGCCUGGGGAGUACAGUCGCAAGGCUGAAACUCAAAGGAAUUGACGGGGGCCCGCACAAGCGGUGGAGCAUGUGGUUUAAUUCGACGCAACGCGAAGAACCUUACCUGGGCUCGAAAUGCUAUGGACCAGCUUAUGAAAGUAGGCCUUCCCGCAAGGGACCGUAGCAUAGGUGCUGCAUGGCUGUCGUCAUCUCGUGCCGCGACACGUUGGCGUUAAAUACCUCAACCAGCUCCCCCCAUUGUUCUGUGCUC
rnacentral:rRNA from 1 species